CAGCAGCCACGGGAAUACGUAGGUGGCAAGCGUUGUCCGGAAUUAUUGGGCGUAAAGCGCGCGCAGGUGGUUUAAUAAGUCUGAUGUGAAAGCCCACGGCUCAACCGUGGAGGGUCAUUGGAAACUGUUAAACUUGAGUGCAGGAGAGAAAAGUGGAAUUCCUAGUGUAGCGGUGAAAUGCGUCGAGAUUAGGAGGAACACCAGUGGCGAAGGCGGCUUUUUGGCCUGUAACUGACACUGAGGCGCGAAAGCGUGGGGAGCAAACAGGAUUAGAUACCCCCGUAGUCCCUGUCUCUUAUAC
rnacentral:rRNA from 1 species